rnacentral:rRNA from 1 species
AUAAGCACUUGUACUGUGAAACUGCGAAWGGGUCWUUUAAUCWCUUUUCGUUUUUUUUAUUGGGCAUUUACUACAUGGAUAMCYGGGGUAAUUYUARARCUAAUACAUGSCAAAAAUCCCCACUUCURRAAGGGGKGUGUUUUUUAWAUAAAAAACAAMUACGGGUGRRACCCYUCUAUUGUUGAUUCAURAUAACUUAUCGAAUCGCAUGGCCUUGCGCCGGSGAUGUUUCAUUCAAAUUUCUGCCCUAUCAACUGUCGAUGGUAAGGUAGHGGCYUACCAUGGUUNUAACGGGUGACGGAGAAUUAGGGUUCGAUUCCGGAGAGGGAGCCUGAAAAACGCCCCCCCACUUCUAAGGAAGGCAGCAGGCACGAAAAUUACCCCCUCCCAACACGGGGAGAGAGUGACAAUAAAUAACAAUACGGGGUCUUUAUGGGUCUUUUAAUUGGAAUGAGUACAAUUUAAAUCCUUUAACAAGGAYCCA